rnacentral:rRNA from 1 species
GACGAACGCUGGCGGCGUGCUUAACACAUGCAAGUCGAACGAAGUGGCGAACGGGUGAGUAAUACGUGGGUAACCUGCCCUCCUUUUUGGGAUAAGCCUUGGAAACGGGGUCUAAUACCGAAUAAAGGGGGAUGGGCUCGCGGCCUAUCAGCUUGUGGGUGGGUUGAUGGCCUACCAAGGCGGUGACGGGUAGCCGGCCUGAGAGGGUGACCGGCAACAGUGGGACGGAGAUACGGCCCAGCCUGCGACGGGAGGGAGAAGUGGGGGAUAUUGCACAAUGGGGGAAAGCCUGAGGCAGCGACGCCGCGUGGGGGAUGAAGGCGUUCGGGUUGUAAACCUCUUUCGCAAGCGAACGGGUAGGUGGAGAAGAAGCGCCGGCUAACUACGUGCCAGCAGCCGCGGUAAUAC